CGGGCUGUGGCCCGGCUCGGGGAGCGGAGCCUGCCGGUACUCGUGCGGCCCUGCGGGGCUGUCCGUCUCCGGGUCGCUCCUUUGCAGCUCUUCCCGCUUCGGCUUUUCCUUCGUGUUCGCGCAGCGCUCUGUUGGCGGGGCUGGCGGACAAAGGGCGGUGUGGGAGCGGGGUUGUCGGGCUGAGCCUGGCGGGGCAGCUGCCUGAUGUGCGCCCGUCUGAGUCCUGUGCCGGGGAGAGCUGGGGAGAAAGGCGAGGCUUUGUGCUUUGGAGCCCCGUCCUGCGGCCUCGCUGGGCGGUGAGGGGCCCGUCCUGUGCUGGGGAGGGCGUGGGAGAGCACAGGGAGACCAGCGGCAGGGAGAGCUGCAGGUUGGCAUAACGGCCCUGCGGGUUUAACUGAAACGAGGGGUGAAACGCCACUCUUAGUUCUUCAGUGAAGUGCUACAGCACAUAACGUUGGAUUUCUUUCAUAUAGCUUGUUAUAAGAACAUACGUUGUAUAAUCAAUGAGUAUAUAGACGUAAAAUCAGUGACAAUACAGAGAAGAAUACUGGGCUUACCAAAAAAAAGACUCCACGAGGAGCCAUCUCCAGGGAGAGACCCCUCCCCAGCGGCAGUCAGCCCUGGAAUGGGCUCUAGCAGAGGUGCAGCCUGGCUGCAGCCCUUCCACUCACACAGCUCAACUGCCUUCACCUGUGCUCCCACGGCUGACUCAGCGCUCGCCUCAGGUGGUCAAUCAGAGGUUCAGGCCGUGAUUCAACAGUUCCUGUACAUACAUCCACUGAAAAACGUGGAGUUUAUGCAGAUAAAAGCCACAUGCGUUGUGGUAACUGCCUUUUUACUUGUGUAUCUACAGGGAGCAGCACGCCAGCACUGUUUCCUAGAACCUGUCGCUUACUGUGCAGGUGAGCUCAGUGUAACUGUGUCUGUAGUUUCUCAUAAUCGGUUGUGACUGUGGCCCUUUAGAUGUGCUCUCCAAAAGAAGCACUGCUAGAAGUGUGACGGCUUCCAAAUGUGGGAGCAUUUCUGCAGGUGUCCUGCUCUUGUCUUUUAACAAGUCUGUUCAACAGUAGGCCUAAGUUCCCUUCUGCUACCAAAAUCCAGGAAUGAAACUUGACGAUGUGAAUGACAGAUUAGGAAGCAGAUAUUACUUUAUUGCAGUGCUUGGUGCAUGAGGGAUUGCCCCUCACCAUCUGAAAGCACACAGAUUUUGUAUACUUUAAUACACAAAUAUUCAUAGGGUUUCCUCAGAGUGCCCACCUAGUCCCAGAAUUGCUAUACAUAUUAAAAUCUGGUGCUAUGCAUACACCGUGUUAGUGUGGUUGUCUUGCAAGGGGGUCUGUGGUGGUUGUGAGGUUCCACUGGGAGGUGCUAUCCAGGUGAAGGGUUGUGUGUUAUGUAGGCCAGGUCCUGUACUUGGUCAAGAACCUAUUUACAAAACCAUGACCGUUGACUUAGUUUCUAAUGAGCACAUCAAUCUUGUUAUAGUGCUUGUAUCAUCAGCCCUACAGUGUACCUCCUCAAGGCUGGUGAAAUGCUGAGGCUCUACUUUUAGGCUCCAGAAGUCCUGCUUAUCUAGGACAGAGAGUCUUCUCUAGACAAAAUACCAGUCGGCUGAAGAGUUUGAACUCAUUGCUAAAGGCUCUGAACUUAUUGCCAGGUAUGAAUAUGAGGAUUUAUAGGGUUUUUGCAAGAUGGGAUCGCACAAAGAUCGCAAGCUAUCAUUUGUGACUGCAGCAAGACUGUACUGCUGCAGUGGUAUUCUUUGAGGGGAACCUGAAAUCUGCUGAUAGAAUUGGUUUCUCUGCCACUAGUUUUCAUUAAAGCCAAAUGUAUCUGUGAAGUUAAUUCAUUAUCUCAUAGUAAAGAACAGCUCACACAUGUAAGCUGAAUUUGUUUUGUGAAAUGCACAGAUUAUUUUGCUUACAGGGUUUUAAAAUAUACUGUCUCCAGGCUGAACAAAUGCCUAGUUUCACUGGGCCCAGGUGAGAACAUCUGAUUAGGAGUUCUCAUCUAAAUAAGGUAUGAAAUUCCCAACCAGCUCUCCAGUGAGGGCUGAAUACAUGUGAAGAGAGCAGCAAAAUGUGUGUACCUCCAUCGAAUCUCUGUAGGUAAGCAUUAUCUUGACACUUUCAGCUGGUUUUCAGAGGUGUAUUAAGAACAGCUUAAAGAUACAAAGCACAUUUUCACAUUCUUGUUUGAAAGAUGGACACAGAAGUAUUAUGCAGGUGGUAUUUGAACCACAUCCCUUGGCUUCUAACCUUCACUGUCUUUUUGGUCGAGCCUCAGUUAUAAUUUUACUAAGAAAUAUAUUGAAUAUGCUCGAAUUGAUGUUAACUUCCAUUGUCACCAAAGGAGGGCAUUUAAAACCGUGAAUACUAUCACAGGAAGACGGAGCUGUUGAUUUGUAAUGGUGAUUUUGCUUUAAUAUGCACUUCUGCCACGUUGAAGUUCUCUAAGUUUAAUCGCUGUGUGAUAAGAAGAGGCAGCUUGUAGACAGGAUAUUAAACCUUGAUUUCUAUCAUACCAAACAAUUGCUGUAUCUUCACCACUUCUUAAAACUGACAUCCUUUCCUUUCAGGUUGACGUGUCCUACUGUAUUAUUUAAGACUUGAUUAUUGCAGUUGAAAUUGGGUUGUUUUUUUUUAGUGCAAAACUAUGUACUUUAAUGGCUGUAUUUCAUCCAUCUUCACUGUGAAUCUGAAUCUAACUUGAUGUCUCACAAACUGCCCAGUUGAUGCUUUCCUGGCCAGGUUUCCAUGUGAACAGAGUGAGCACACAGCUAUGUAAUGUGUCACCAAUCCAAUUGCAGGCAGCACAGUGCUUGGGAAAAGCUUUACCUGGUGUUCAUCAUGAGUAGGAGUCGUCCCCACCUGUGAAGCCUGGGUUCCUGAUGGAGAAGUUGCUGAUCCUCCUCACCUGUGUCAUCCAAGUGGUUUAGAGAUCAGUAAUGCUUGUUGCUUGAUCCAACUGCUGUAUAGCUGAUGAAUUCAUGGAUUUAAGACAAAUAAUCCGUAUUUCAUUACUAGCAAGUGCUAGAAAUAAAAAUGUACUCUGCACUAUUGCUUGGAAAAACAAAUCCUGAAGUCGUAAGAGAGGAUUAAAGUUGAAAAAAAAUCUCUCAAGAGAAAAACGAAGGGAGUAAUGACAUCUGCUUAGCAGCAUCCAGCCCCUCAGCCUGCAGCACGGACCUCUGGAGCCCUUACACACGGAAUAAAAGGGGAUGCAGUGAGUGAGGAGCAGCAGAACUGCAAGCAGAGCAGCGCUACUGGUGGUGGUGUUCUACCAUGGCGGUAAACAAAGCCAUCGGUUGCAGACUUCUGCACCAAUUCAGGUGGCUCCAUUGCAGGUGUAAGGUUGGAGGUGUGAGGUUUCUCAGCAGUGGGACGUUACCACCUAGCUGUGAGCUGGCUUCGCUCUGCUGCUGCUCUGCAUGCCAUAAAACAGCAAUCCGAAGGGUUUGCUCUGAAAGCAUCUCUUUGUGCCCUGGGCCAGUGACCCCACUGCUGUGCCAGUGAAUCAUGGCAAGCUGGAGGAAUCUCCCUGAUUUCUGAGCUCCUAAUCCCGCAAAGCCUGUAAAUGAUGGCUGGCUUAGCUUUGUUUCUGAUAAAACGAGGCUUAUGAGAUGAUGACAUUUGCUGCCUGUUUCUCCUCCGCUCCGUUCCGUGUCACCACCCAAGAGAUCUCUGGAGCCCAUCAGUGCAAGGCUGUGUGCCUAGUGCUACAACACUACCGCGUGCUGGAGAGCAGGGAGGAGCCUGGGUGAAUGUAUGGGA
ensembl:lncRNA